rnacentral:tRNA from 1 species
GUGGAUGUGGCAGAUGAUAUGUGUCCGAUUUAAGCUUGGAUUAUGGGUUUAAUUAUAGUUUGACCCCUUUCACU